UUCACCGGAAAAACCUGCAUCCGCCAGC
rnacentral:piRNA from 1 species